GUCUGUGGCCUGCCUGUACAUGGUCACCAUGUCUGCACCAAGAGAGAGAGACUCCAGGAAGCCCAAAGGACCAGUGAUACAGACUCAGUGAGGCACACGGGCCCCUCCUGCAGAAGGAAGCGGGUAUGUGGCCCCACUUCACCCGGAAUGGGAGGUGGCAAGAAGGCACCAUUCAGAAAAUCUGUCCCGGGUGGAUGAGGUCACAUGAUCUCCUGGGGCUUCCAAGACUUUUACCUGACAGGUAAAACUGAGAGCAUUCAAUGUCUUGGCUCAAAGGAACCAAGAGGCCUGUCCCAAAACACACUAACAGAUCUUAGGUACCAGGAGGGAAAGGCCAGAGAAGAGACAGAAAUAAGUAAAUGUGGUCAGAAUGUUAAUGACCCCACAGGCUCAUAUAUUUGCAUAUUUAGUCCCCAGUUAGAGGUUGCUGGGGGUGGACUUUUGAUGUUUCAAAAACGCAAGCCAGGCUCAGUCAGUCUCUGCAUCUCUCAGUCAGUGUCUGUCUGUCUGUCUCUGGCUGCUGCCUAGGGAUCAAGAUGUAAAGCUCUCAGCUACUGUUCUAGUGCCAUCUGUCCCAGCACUAUUCAUCAUGAUGAUCAGGGUGGACUAAAACCUCUGAAACUACGCAAGCCCCAGUUGAGCCCUUUUCCUUCCUAAAAGAGCUACCUUGGUCAUGGUAUCUCUUGACAGCACUAGAAUAGUGACUAAGACAACAAAUACAUAAAUUCAAUUAAAACAGAAG
ensembl:processed_transcript 8030453O22Rik RIKEN cDNA 8030453O22 gene